AUGGAUGCUGGGGAUGCCGUUAGUACCGGCGGCAGGAACAGCAAGGAAGCGACCGCGGCUGCUUACGCUGAGACGCCGAGCUGUGUCUUGAUCAGCGUGCCGGGUUCGCCGCCGGGACUUUACCCAGCACAGCUUGGCAUGCCUCCCUUCGUCCGCGCCAACAAGGCCGACAUUGGCGCCCCUGCCGUGCCGCCGAGCGAGUCGAAGGUCGAGCGGGUUCACCACCCGUCCGUGCCGCAGCUGCUGAAGCAGGCCCGGCACCACUCGCAGCCAUCCCUGGUGGUCAGAGGCGGCGGCGAGGUGCCGGCGGUGCUGCGGAGCGACAGCAUGCGGGAGCGAGACCGGCGGUUUGACCACUUCAAGACGUUCUCUGGCCGCUUCUCCAGCCUCCGCGGGCUGCCACAGGACACCGAUGUCGAGCAAGGUGUGGCGUCAAAGACCUCAGAGGAGGAAACCGACGAGGACGAUGCAGUGCCCAGCGCCGACCGCUACUUCGCCGCGCUCGAAGGACCCGAGCUCGAGACACUUCGGUCAACAGAGAUGGUCGUGUUGCCAAAGGAUGAGACAUGGCCGUUCCUGCUCCGAUUCCCCAUCAGCGCCUUUGGGAUGUGCCUUGGCGUGAGCAGCCAGGCCAUGCUGUGGAAGACCCUCGAGUCAGAGCCCUCCACCAAGUUUCUUCACGUCCACCCUACUGCUAACCACGUCCUCUGGUGGAUCUCCAUCGUACUCAUGGUCUUCGUCUCCAUCACCUACCUUCUAAAGGCCGUCUUCUACUUCAAGGCCGUCCGCCGCGAAUUCCACCACCCAGUACGCGUCAACUUCUUCUUUGCACCAUGGAUUGCCUGCCUCUUCCUUGUCAAGGGCGUGCCGCAUCCGGUGUGGGAGAUCCACCAAACCAUCUGGUACGUGCUCAUGGCGCCUAUCCUGUGCCUCGACCUCAAGACCUAUGGCCAGUGGAUGUCUAGUGGCGAGCGCCGCCUUUCUAAGGUGGCCAACCCAUCCAACCACCUCGCGGUCAUUGGCAACUUCGUCGGCGCACUUCUUGGCGCUAGGAUGGGCCUCCGGGAGCUGCCCAUAUUCUUCUUUGCCAUCGGGUUGGCCCACUAUGUCGUGCUAUUUGUCACUCUCUAUCAACGACUCCCCACCAAUGUGCAACUACCCAAGGAGCUCCACCCGGUGUUCUUCCUCUUUGUCGCCGCACCUAGCAUCGCUUCCAUGGCCUGGACGAGGAUCUCUGGAGAGUUCAACGAUGGAUCCAAGCUCCUUUACUUUGUCUCGCUAUUCCUCUACGUGUCGCUGGUGGUACGCAUCAACCUCUUUAGGGGAUUCAAGUUCUCGUUGGCAUGGUGGGCGUACACAUUCCCAAUGACGAGUGUAGCCUUGGCAACGGUUUUGUAUGCAUCAGAGGUAAAGAACAUAUUGACACAGGCACUGGCAGUCGGGUUGUCCGGAAUUGCCGUUGUCACGGUCACCGGCGUGCUAGCCACCACCAUGUACCACGCCUUCGUGAGCAAGGACCUCUUCCCCAAUGAUGUGUCCAUCGCCAUCACGCGGCGAAGGCCCAAGUUUAGCAAGAUCCUCGCACAUAUCCGAUCAUCAAGCUCUGAUGUGAAGGAGCUCGUUCUCUCCAUCCCAAAUUUCAGUAAUUCCAAGCAAGGCACAUACUUCGAUGACUCUGCCUCCAAAUCCAAGAUGAGCAACAUUGCCGGCGUGUCUAUGGUGGCACAGGGGAAUGGAAGAGCAGAGUGUUUUCACAGUCGGUGCACAAGAUGGUGCAUGCAUGCACGACUAGCUUAUGUUGAUUGGUAG
rnacentral:rRNA from 1 species